AUGACUCGACCUGAUGGCAUCAAUACCCCCGAUGGAAAGUUCUACCUAGGAGAUGUUGGCUAUGCAUGUCGGCCUAGAGUUCUUCCACCCUUCAGGAAAACCAGGUACCAUCUGAACGAGUUCUCCUGUAGGAACUAUUCUAGGACUCCAUGGGAACUGUUUAAUCUCACACACUCCAGCCUUAAAGUUAUGGUUGAGAGGGCAUUUGGAGCUCUCAAGAAUAGGUUUAAGAUCUCAGAAGAGAAGACAUUCCACACUUUCCCCACCCAUGUUAAGCUUGUUCUUACUUGUUGCAUUCUGCAUAACUGGAUCCUGUAAUGGGGUUGUGAUGGCCUAGUGCCAGAGAAGGAAGAGGUGACGCCUGAUGAUGUUGUCAGCCCCGGGCAUGGUGUGGAGGCAUUUGACAAUGAAGUCUGUGAAAGUGCAUUAUAUCGACUAGAGGGGGGUGAAUAG
rnacentral:rRNA from 1 species